AUUGAACGCUGGCGGCAGGCCUAACACAUGCAAGUCGAACGAGUGGCGGACGGGUGAGUUAUGUCUGGGAAACUGCCCGCUGGAGGGGGAUAACUACUGGAAACGGUAGCUAAUACCGCAUACCAUCGGAUGUGCCCAGAUGGGCUUAGCUAGUAGGUGGGGUAACGGCUCACCUGGGCGGCGAUCCCUAGCUGGUGUGAGAGGAUGACCAGCCACACUGGAACUGAGACACGGUCCAGACUCCUACGGGAGGCAGCAGUGGGGAAUAUUGGACAAUGGGCGCAAGCCUGAUGCAGCCAUGCCGCGUGUAUGAAGAAGGCCUUCGGGUUGUAAAGUACUUUCAGCGAGGAGGCGUUACUCGCAGAAGAAGCACCGGCUAACUCCGUGCCAGCAGCCGCGGUAAUUC
rnacentral:rRNA from 1 species